CGUCGCUGCCGUGAUCGUGGUC
rnacentral:sRNA from 1 species